rnacentral:misc_RNA from 1 species
CGCCCCUCAAGCGCAAGCUUGGUGUUGGGGAUCGCCCCUGAGAUACGGCGGCGGCCCUUAAAUGCAUCGGCGGUGCUGGUGUCAGCCCGGAGCGCAGCAGACAUGCGGCUUCCAGGCGACCACGCGCCCGCCGGACAACGACCCGACUUUCAA